UGAGUGCAGAACUUGAACAUAAAGAAACAAACACUAUUAUAAUCAUAGUGUUGGAAAAGCAAAAGAUUAUAUUCAAGAUCAUUUGGCAUCUUUCAACAUCUCUGGAGCAGCUCGGAGAAUGUUUGUUCCCACGGGAAUCCAACUGGGCUCUAAGGGUGUCGUGAAACAGUUUUGCCAGGACCUCCACCUGGACUACAGCAGGAGGAUGAACUCUCCCAUCUGCCCGACAGUCCACCACUGGAACGUUCCUCUGGCCCCGUCGGGCCCUUGGCCUCAUCCUCUCUGACUGAAGACCCGCCAGAGAGCGUUAUUUCUGCACCAAUCCGGCGCCUGGAUCCAUACCUCAUCCCACAGGAACACCGCAGGGAGAUUUGACUCAUGUGGGUACCAAGGGCUGCUGUGGUGAGCAGACACCAAGCCACAGGACCAAGCGCCCGCUGCAAGAAAUGACCUGUAAGUCCUACAGCUGACGUAUUUAACAGGGAACAUCUCAGUGGUACG